rnacentral:misc_RNA from 1 species
UGAGCCGAAAUUGAGCCCACACUGUCCUUCAAAAGUUUUCUUCUCCAAACCUUCCCCUGUCGCCGAAAAAGUUCCAUUUACCGGAUUUUCUAGGCGGAAUUGUCCAACCUGAGUAAAGCCUAAACUAUUGCUAGGGGUGAGUAUCAACAGUUUCAUCUUAAUUGAGGGAGAAAGAAGAAUUGUUUAGUUGCAGAAGCUAAGUUAUGGAUUGUGCUGCGAGGACUCACAGUGUUGUGUUCAGUGCCCUUUUUCCAAAAAACUCUGCAAAUUCCAGAGUUUUUACUGUCAAAUGCUCUUCGAAGAACCUAUCGUUGGAUGGUGCAUCUUCUGGUCUGGUUGAAAGACCUUGGAAGGUAGCAGAUGCUAGACUUGUUCUUGAGGAUGGUUCAAUUUGGAAGGCAAAAUCAUUUGGUGCUCGUGGAACCCAAGUUGGAGAAGUGGUUUUCAAUACCUCUUUAACUGGGUACCAGGAGAUAAUUACAGAUCCUAGUUAUGCGGGCCAGUUCGUCUUAAUGACUAACCCUCACAUUGGGAAUACUGGGAUGAAUUUUGACGAUGAAGAAUCGGUGCAGUGCUUUCUUGCAGGAUUAGUCAUUAGAAGUUUAAGUAUCAGCACCUCAAAUUGGAGAUGCACAGCGACCCUUGGUGACUAUUUGGCUGAAAGGAACAUCAUGGGUAUAUAUGAUGUUGACACCCGAGCAAUUACUCGAAGAUUAAGAGAAGACGGAAGCCUUAUAGGAGUCUUGAGCACAGAAAAUUCAAAAAGUGACGAAGAACUUCUUGAAAUGUCCCGUACAUGGGACAUUGUGGGUGUGGAUCUAAUCAGUGGCGUUUCAUGCAAAUCUCCUUACCAAUGGAUUGAUAGAACAGGCUCAGAUUGGGAAUUCAAUGAUAAUGGAAGAAAUAAAGAAACUUUCAAUGUUGUUGCAUAUGAUUUUGGAAUCAAGCAUAAUAUACUUCGGCGCUUAGCAUCCUAUGGCUGUAAAAUCACUGUUGUUCCUUCAACAUGGCCAGCAUCUGAAACCCUAAAGAUGAAUCCUGAUGGGGUUCUUUUCAGCAAUGGGCCAGGAGAUCCCUCUGCAGUUCCUUAUGCAGUUGAAGCGGUAAAAGAACUUAUUGGAGAAGUUCCUGUUUUUGGUAUAUGUAUGGGUCACCAGUUGCUGGGUCAAGCAUUGGGGGGUAAGACAUUCAAAAUGAAAUUUGGUCACCACGGAGGAAACCAUCCAGUUAGAAACCUUCGAAAUGGAUGUGUUGAGAUCAGUGCCCAGAAUCACAACUACGCUGUUGACCCUGAGUCUCUCCCAGAUGGUGUAGAGGUGACUCAUGUAAAUUUGAAUGAUGGAAGUUGUGCUGGUCUUGCCUCCUCUAAAAUGAAGCUGAUGUCACUUCAAUACCACCCCGAAGCAUCUCCAGGGCCUCAUGAUUCAGAUCCUGUAUUUGGAGAAUUCAUACAACUCAUGAAGCAAGAAAAAGUGAAGGCAUAAGUCCAUUUCCCAGAGUCUGAAGAUGAGAGAUAUGUUUGAAGGAACCACAUUCCGAAAAGGAGAAUUUCGAUGAGAUUUGCUAUCUCUGUUGUGUUUCAUCUCUUCUUGUCAUAAACUCGAGCCGGAGCUUUCUGUCAUGCUGCACAUCUUCUUUGCAAUUACAGUGAUGGAUAUAUAUAUAUAUAUUUUCUAGUCUAAAGAUAUACGUGGUUUGUGUAAUGGUAUUCUAUGUCUGUCUGUGGUCUAGUAGUUAUAAUAUACACUUUGCUUUUGUCUUAAGCAAAAUAUCAUGCUGCUUUCUGUAAUGCUGCACAUCUUCUUAGCAAUUACAGUGAUGGAUAUAUAUAUAUAUAUUUUCUAGUCUAAAGAUAUACGUGGUUUGUGUAAUGGUAUUCUAUGUCUGUCUGUGGUCUAGUAGUUAUAAUAUACACUUUGCUUUUGUCUUAAGCAAAAUAUCAUGCUGCUUUCUGUAAUGCUGCACAUCUUCUUA